UGCACCUGGUCUGCGCGGACAGGUGAAGUGGAGCUCUGGGGGUAUUUUGGAAGCGGUGGAUUUGAACGGACCAUUCAGCGCGCUGCAUUUGAGGACUCGGUGGUUCGCGUUUUUUCCAGCUACCCCGCUCAGGUUGUGCAGAGACUUCAUCAUCCAACCUUCUCCAUCAGAGUGGCUCUCUUUCUCAGAGUGAAAAUCCAGCUAUCAUUGGACCGGAGCGGAACAUAUAUCAAUCUGCCACUGAACAGCUGGAGAGAGAGGAUGUGACAGAAGUACAGGGGAUUAAGUUCAGAUAUGAUGGAUACACAAAAGGACAUCCGUGAUGCCCUACGAGCAGUGCUUCCUGGCCUUUCACAGGAAGUUUUGACUGCUUUAGAGGAUGUGUUGGAGAACCUCAGCACUACAACCACAGAUGAUUUACAAUAUAUCACUGAAGGAGACUUAUUGCCUGUGCUGAAGCCCAUACAGGCCAGAAGACUGGUUGCUGCGUGGGCCCAAAAUAAACAACAAUGUACAGCUUCUCAUUUACACCUGGUAGUUCCUGUGCAGGGGACAGACAACAGUCUGUUAGAAAAGGAAACACUCUACAUUAACAGUUACCUAACAUUACUUUACACAGACUCAAUGGCUUCAUCUUCAGGCGGGGCAUCCUCCUGUCCACAGUCCGUUCAGUCCUCUCAAUCUGCAGCCUCACUUUCACAACCAUCGUCUGCUGCUAUUUCAUCACCUUCACUGAGCUGCUCCCCAGUUUUGCCAACCUGGGUUGACAGUUUUCAGAUACCGUGGCAGAAGCUCCCGGAAGAGCUGAUACAAACUUUGGAACGACAGAAAAGGCCAAGUGCACCACUUCGAAGACAAAUGGUGAGGAUUAUUGUCUCUGAAAUGAUGCAGAUUUGCAAGAAUCCAACCAAACGCAACACUACUGAAAUAGCAGAAAGGAUGGUGAGCAGAUAUCCAAAGUCACUUAAGGAUGUCAUUGAUGGUGACGUUAUUGGACUUGGUUAUCAUUCCCUGGUAAAACAACUCCAGGCUAGAAUUGAAAAUGUCAAACGACAAUACACACCAAAGAUAACUAAACGCAAGGCAGAAUCAGAUAACGACACUGAUGAGAUACCUGCUGAGCAAAAAGCCAGUGUUCAAGACACGUAUGGCUGUGUCAACUGGGAGCCAAAGUUUUUGCCCCUUUCUGAGACUGUAGAGAGUCAGCUUAAGAGAAAAAAAGACUUGAAAAAGAUGUUCAAAGACAAAAAUUACGCUGCAGAAGAUGUGAAAGAACUUAUCAAGUCCACCUAUUACACGCAACGAAAGGACAUCAAUAAAGGUACAAGCAUCCUGAAGCUAUGCCAAGAAUGGCCUUUUUUGUUCCACAAAACUGGCAUGGCAGAACACUUCCAGCAACUUACUGGCAUCAAUCUGAUGGAAGCCUUCACCAAUCUGGACAAAAAGGGGGAGCGCAUCCUCAACUUCCUUAAAACUGUUUUUGCUGAGAAAGAAAACCAAGUUAGCAAAUGAAAAAGGUCGGUCCAGUGGUUGUACAGAGAUGAUUCUUCUUCUACUUGCUUUUUUUGGUGAGAAGGAAGAGCAUAUGUUCCACUACGUUGAGAAGACGAGCCUUGCUGAAGAGGUUGAGAUGGAGGAUGUGCCAGCAACACCCUGCCUUAUUGUGUGUGGGUCAUCAUCCUGCUGGAAUGUGAAUCUCAGAGUUUCAAGUCUUUUGCAGCCUCUAACAGGACUUCUUCCAACAAUGUGCUGCAAUAAACUCAAUCCACCUUCUGUUAACUCUGACCAGCUUGUCCACAGCUGCUGAAUACAGCAUUCCCACAGCAUGAUACUGGCGCCGCCAUGUGUCAUUGUGUGGAUGAUGUUUCCAGGAUGAUGUGCAGCUU